rnacentral:lncRNA from 1 species
AAAUUAUUAAACUUGUCCCUGAUGUCAUAAUAUCAGUGACUAGAACCCUAUUUAAACAUAAACACUGAUCAAUAAAACUUUAAAUAAAAAUAUAAUAUAGGUGAGAUCAUAAAUAUCCACUUUAUUCUCAAACACAAACACAUUGAUAUCACUCCUCAAUCUUGUUUUGAGGAUAACCUGCAUAUAAUAAUUGAAAAGAAACAUGUAGAAAAUAGGGGGUGAGAUUUUAUAAUAGAAAAAGAUAUGUUUGAAUAUAAUAUAUAGAGAAAUAGGAUAUAAGUGGGUAGUUGGAAUGGAACCCGUAUCAUUAGCUUGGAUGGCUAGGGUUUAUAGUCAAUGAAAGUUUCUAUUUAAAAAUUGAACGUGAAAAUUUUGUUUCAUUUAGGGCCUUUGUAGAAUAAUUUAAGAGAUAGAUGGAAUACAUGAAGAAGAAAAUGGCAAUUAACAUCUAUGCAAGCCUUUCGGUAUGAAUACAUAUGUUAAAAUAAAUUUAAAGUGGUAAAGUAGUAUUGCAUAGAAGCAAACAAACAAAUAUACGUUUAUGACUGCAAACCAUUUGAGGCGUACACAUAAUACUAUAAGAGAUACAUAUAUCAAAUGAACCGUUCCUACACAUCUAUUAUAUAUGCAUAUCGCGUACACAUAACUUGUAUUUAAGAAAGUAUAAUUUGAUGACAAGGGAGGUAAAAGAAGAACACCACUGCUCGGUGUGAACUUUAGCAGAUUGGAAUAUCGCUACUAUUUGAAUGUUAAGCGACUAGUUAGAGUUUCUCAACUAUAAAUAUACUCUAAAAUCAAGGAAUCAUAAAGAGCCACUAGGGAUUUCACACCGAAGAGUAGUCUCCCCUUAAAUUGGGUUGACAAACCCAUGGCAUCUUCACCAUCUAAUUCAUUUAAUAUUUUCACUCAUAUUAAAGUAACUCAAUAUGAUUCAUUUUUCACAAAGUAACAUAAAAAAUUAUCAUUGUUUUAUUCUCAUGUCAAAAAUGUUAUCACCAGUCCCUCCAUUUACAAUGUAGGUAUGUUAUAAAUAUAUUAUCAUCCAAGAACUUUCACUGGCUCACUUGAGCUACGAGGCUUGGCUUAAUACUUGUAAUCACAAAAUUAUACGCAACACACAAAUUCUCAGGAGCAACCUUGUAAUUAAUUGAAAAGAAGGAUUCACUUUUGUACUAACAAGUUGUAAUCCUCAUUAAAAUAUAAAUUACCCAUUCUAUUUAUAUUUUUAUUUGUGGUUUUAAGGUUCCAUUUGUCAAUCAAAAUUUUCAAUUACAAGACAACUUUUUUGGAGCUUUUAUAACCUAUUACCUUGUAUUGGGAUGGAUUUAUAUCAUUGGGUUGGCCAUUUUUUAUUAUUCUAUUGCUUUUAGACUCAUUGGUAACGAUGAACUAACAUAACUAUAUUAAAAAUUCUAGGAAACAAAAGUGUGUGUGUGUGUGUGUAUAUAUAUAUAUAUAUAUAUAUAUAAAUAAGUCUUUGGUACUUGGAUUGAGUUUCCUUUUCCCAAGAUUCAAUCUAAAUGUGUUUCUGUGCUUCUAUAGAAUUACGUAUUGUGUAGACGUGGUUGGUGCGGUUUUCGACUUGUGUAUGUAAGAAUCACAACAGACAAAUCUGGUGUUUUUCCUUAUUGUACAUGUUGUGGCGUACUUGUGUAGGUGCUAGAGUUAUCAAAGCAUUUGUUUCGUUUCUUCAAUAUUCUAAAGUGGAUAAAAUAUCUAGUACAUAUUUGGGACGAAUAUGGUAAAAUAGUUUAUCAAUUAAUAUAUAUAGGUGAAACAAGAUCUACCAGGUAUUAAGAAGAUAAUGGUAGCUACAAUUUGUUUUUUCAUUCUUAAGAGUAUCAUCUAAAUAGAUAUAUUUUGUCAAUAUAUUGUCUAUAAUAUAAGUGUGAUAUUUUAAUUGUUUUCAUACAUUGGUAGCGUAAGAGCAUUUGGAUCAUCUUUUAUAUAUGAUAUUUUAUUUAUGUACGAAAUAUCAUAGAUGAUAUAUUUUUCAUUUUUAAUAACAUAGUUAUGUCCUCUGUAUAUUUAAAGCAGUUAUAUGUUCAUGAUGCCUUAUUAUAUGUUAACUUAAGGGUGUUAAUAUACUGUAGGUUUUUGUGUGAUCAUUGAUUAUUAUGAUCAUCAGGAUUAUAAGUAAGAUAAAAGUAUAAUAUUAUUAGGGAAACUAUGAUUAUGAUGAAAACAAAUUACAAGUAUGACAAUCGACUAAGGUUAUGGAUAUGAAUAAAAAUAUAAACAUGACUUUUUCAUACAAACAUAAAUGAUUAGUUAGUGAUUUUUAUGGACUAAGUUUCCAUGACUUAUAGAGAUUACAUAUGAAGAAUUUCAUAAGAUUUUAUUGAUGUUAUUCCACCAUUAAGUUUAUGAGGUUUUACAAGGUGUAUUACUGGUCCCAUCUUUUAGAAAGGAUAUUAUCAUUAUUUUGAACAUGGCUAAAUGCCACUAUAGUGAUCUAUUCUAGCCAAAAUUAUGGACUGCAAUAAGCUUAAAGCAUUUAGACUCCAUUAGAAGUAACAGGGUGCUUUCACAUUGUUAGCGAGACCAUUUGUGGCAUCAUAAUUUACCAGUUUAAUUGUCAACGCUUAGUUUGAUAUGCAUCAAAUACAUAUGAAUGAUCUGAAAUGAAAUUUAACGAUGAUGUAUAAUAUGAUUGAGUCGAGGAUGUAUGCUGUACUUUUUGUGUGGUGUACUUUUUUCCAUCCCAUUAUUUUGAUUUUCUAGAGUCUUAGUUCCUAUUUAAAAUGAUCCCCAUUUGCAGGGGCUUUGGAUUUUAUUGUGUUGUUGGAGUACCCCUUGUACUCCUUUUUCAAUUUGAUAUAUAUUCCACUAAAAAAAAUUAUUUAAAAUGAUUCUAAUGUGAUUAAAUAAAUUGCAAGGUCGAAGAAUUACAUGAAAGAUUAGAGAAUUAUGUUUUACCUUAGUCGGUCAAGGAAAGACAAAUACUGUUGAUGCACUCCAUGGGAUAUGGAUUGUCAGGAAAAAAUUUCAGGCAAUCGUCAUCAGUAUCACACACUACUGUAAGGUAAAUAAAGAUAAAGAAAUAUUACUAAAUAUAAAAGAAAUGUGUUGUCUAAGAUAAAAAAUAAUAAUAAUAGAAUGAGCUUACAUUCGCCAUAAAUUACAAUAAAAUACAAAGAAACAAAAAGGAUCGCAUUAUAAAUAAACUUGAGAAUUUCAGCCAUUCUAUUAAUAAAAAGGAUUUGCAUAUAUCAAAUGUUGAAUUGUCUGAUCACUUUAUAUAAUAAAAAAUUUCAUCCAAUGUUUACAUAAAGUAAAUAUUUUUUAACAACUCUUCGUUUGGACAAAAUUCCUCACAAAUAUAAUUAUUAUUAAAUAUAAUUAAAUUAAAUUUGUGUAUCAUGUUUGUCCCUUUAACCCAUGUAAUAUACAUUACAUAAAAAUGUUGUUUGUAAUUAUAGUUAAAACCAAUUCACUAAUAUUCAAUUAAUUUUUAUUACUUAUCUAGAAUUUCAGAAUAUAUAUAUUUAUGGUUGACAAAUGAUUCCCUCCAAUCCUUCUUAAAAUUAGAAACGUAAGGUGGAAACAACUUCUUACCUGGAUGCGCACUUAUAGACACCCAAGACAUCUUAUCCACACCCUUGGUCCCGUAAAAGUAAAAGAAAGCGCCAACAGAAGGUUCCAUCCCCAACGCCUCGCACAAAAUUGCAAAGCCCCGGAUUGAAUUUGAGAGGGAGCCAUGUUCGAAAAUUUCAGAAUGUCCUUAUCCGAAAGGGUAAAAGGAAUUUUUAUCCCAAACUCCUCAAGAAAAUGCGCCGUACAUAUGAAACAUUUUUUUCACACUCUUAGGGGGAUGUAUGCAAACUUUUUCUCCAGGAAAGCAGGGUGUCAACAAAAUGUCUUCCUUCCACCCAGUUGAAGAAAUGAAUAUCUUGGUCCGCAGAAAAUUUACGCUCGCCUUAUCGUGAUAGGAGGAUUCAUAGUGUUGAACAUCACCAGAAAAACCCUUCAUAUCAAGCUCGGAGCCAGACCCAUAAAGUAAACCACCAUCCCUACGAGCCACUACAAGAGGAGAGUAAACAAUGACUUCCUUCCUAGAACCACUCCUUGGAGUCGAAUACAGGAAAGCACAACAAUUGUCAUCACUAUCAUCAGAACUACUACUACUAUCACUUCCACUCGACAAUUCUUCAAUAAUCAUAUGACAAAAAUAGCUUAACUCAUACGCUCCCCAAUCGAUAAGACCAUUUGGCCGCGUAGCAUGCCUCAAACACGCUCCUCAGUUUUUCCUUUUCAACGGGAUCCGUGGGAAAAAACUCCUUGCCCAAAAACUCCGUACCCUAAAUAAAUACUAAAAAUAGAAGGGAUGAGGAAGAAUAAUACCUGAAAUCAAAAGAGAAAAGCCUUUCCCGGAGUAACAACUGAAUUGGAAGUAAGGUGGAACACAAAGACGAGACAGGCGGCCGGAGAAAAAAGUAAGGAAGAAUUGAAAAAUGAAAGAAAAGGGACUACCUUUANAUUGGUUGGACACAACGACCUAAUAGAUUCGAUGACUUGAUCAUUGCGCUGAAGUUACACACUCUUACAGUUUCUAGAAAAUUCUAGAAAUUGGGAGCAUUGAAGAGAAGGAAAAGUAUUGUGUAAGUCAUUCAGAAAUAUUGUUAUAAAAUAGUUAGAGAGUGCACUAUCUGGAAGCUUUUUGAGGUCCUUGAUCCUCUAUAGACAGUGCAACUUGAUUCAGUCUAGUUUCCACUAUUGGUUUAUUUUAAUGGUUGAGAUAUGAAUGCUUUUAACCAUUGUAUUAAUCCAAAUGUCUGUUGUUGUCUGACCAACCAUAGAGAAUUUAGGUUCGAUUCUUUUUUGACGUAUUAAUAUAACUAAAUUUCGGAUUUUGAUUAUCUCCUUUUAUUUUUAUCUCGAUUUAUCUCCUAACUUUAUCAAAAUUCUUAAUGAGAUAUUAAUCUAACUAAAUUAUAGUGUUCAAUGUUGUUCAUCAUGUUGUAGAUUGGUUCUCCUAUUUUGUUAUGGAUUGUUCAUAUUUGAAUGAGAUUUAAAUAAUUUUUUAAUUGAUGAUUUAAAUAAGGGUUAAUAGUGUUUUUCACCCCUGUAAUAUAUGUCAUUUUCGGUUUUCGCCCCUAUAAUAUUUUCGGUUUGAUUUGCAUCCUCGUAAAUAAAAAAAUCCGAAAAACCCCCAUCCCCUGUCCAACUUACUAAAUUUGCUUAUGUGGCGCUGACUUGGUUUUUUAUUUAUAUUUUUAAUUGGCCACAUCGGAUUUUAUUAUUAAAAUUUUUAAAAAUUCAAAAAAUAAUAUAAAUUCAUUUAUAUUAAUUAAAAAAUAUAAAAAUUAUUUAAAAAUUUUGAAAAUUAAUUUUUGAAAAUAAAAAAAUUGUAAAAAUGAAAUAAUUUUUUUUACGGAAUUUUUCUAAAAAAAAUCUGGAAUAUUUUUUUAUUACCAAAAAAAUUAAAAAAAAUAAGAAAAAAAAACUAUAAGAAACCCUAGUUAGUUUCUUAUUAGCAAAAAAUGAAAUCUAGUUAAAAAAAUGAGUAACAAACCUUGUUCUAUUAGCAAAAACUCUUUUCCCCUUCACAUACAAACGAGUAGAACAUCAAUGGCCUUUCAAUUUUUAUUUUUAUUUUCAUUUUCCCCAAUUUCUUCCCAAAACCCUAGUUUCUAAUUGAAAAAGAUGAACAACGGGGUCUAAUACACGUUGUCAAGCCCAAAACGUUGCGUUUCGUGCCCAGUCACCAAGUUAACGACCACAUCAUCGUUAUAUUAACGGACACUGACGGGAAGGACAAUGUUUCUAACAUUCAGAAACUAAAAGGAUCUAAUUAGAACUUCAAAAAAAAUAUUUAAAAGGACUAAUCUGAAACAAACACAAACCUUAAAGCCCGUCGGAUGCAUUUUGCCAAAAGUAUAAAGUAAUUAAUGAUUAUGGGACUAGCUUAGUGAUAGGACCCUCUCUCCAAAUUGUACUAUACUCCAUUUAUUAUGUCAAAUAGAGAGGAUCCUAACCAAGUUUGGAUUAGUUGCAGAAAACCAUGAAAGUGUAAAAGCGCAUAUGAAAAAAGUGAUGCAGGCAGCUGUAAAUGAAACAAGGGAGAUGAUGUACCAUUUUACCAAUUGCUAUUUGAAAAAAUAACAUAAGAGCUGUGAAGCACGAAUACGGACACGACACGGACAUCGACACGUCGACACAGCUAAAUUUUUAAAAAAAUCAUAAAAUGCAGUGUAAUUAUAUGUAUCAAUGUCGGACAUGACACGUGUCUGACAUGGGGAUACGCCUUAUUCAAGGAGUGUUCGUGCUUCAUAGCACAAGAGCUAUAAUCAGGAGUAUCUGCAGUGUUAUGUUCCUUCAUGAAUUUACCAUAAUUUGAUGACAUAUUCAUUAAAGCUAAGAUAGUUAUUAGCAUGGUUCGUGUCAUUAUGAUCAAAGCUACAUGCUCAAACACCUGAUCUCUGUCAAAAAGAAAAUUAAUGAUGAGAUUUGCAACGUAUAUACAUUGGUUACUUUCUUAUUUCUUUCUUUGAACUAAAUGAAAUAGAACAGCGCUAAAUGGUGCGACACAUUGUAUGCACGAAAAUGCAUGACAGCGAGAAAACAUGACAUUUUGACUUUUCUAUCAUGAACUAAAACUUGAUUUGCUCAUAGUAUAGUACAUGCAUUGUCCUUCAUGCAAGAUAUCCUAAAAAUGGUUUUAAAAAAAGCACAUAUUUUAACAAACCACAAUAAUGGUGAAAAGUCUUUGGUUUCAUGGGUANUAUGGAGACGAUUAACUUACUACUUUAUUAAUUGUUACGAUUUGGUGCACUUGUCAAUUUCGUCCAUCAGGUAGAUUGUCAUAUUUUUACCAUGCUUAUCUCACCAACCAUGGAACCGAGUAUUUAGUUUUAUUUUGUAUUAUAUGUUAUAUAGUUUAUAUUCAUCGUGUUUGGGGUGAUACUUUUUGUAGUUUAUAACAUUAAAAUUCUGAUGAGUAUUUAAGUAUGCUUGUCAGGAUCCAUAUAUAAAUAACAUUGGAUUUUCGAGUCAAAGUUAGAGGUUUAUAACUUGGAAGUUUUAUUUAUUUGUCAAAUUAUUUCUCGUCAAUAUAUUAACACUUAUUGUUAAAAAAAAAUUCACAUUAUUGUUAAGAUUUAAGUUUGAUAAUAUCUAUAAUUUGAAGAUUUAAUUUCUAUUGUUAAAGCCUUAUAUAAACUUGGGAGUUUAAAUUUUCAUGUAGCCUAAGAUAUCACAUCAUGACAAGUAGAAAUUUAAUUCCAUAACUCAAAAUAAAAUAUUUUUCCUUAUUAGAGCCUUACAAUUAUCCAUAAUAUAAAAUAAAAUAUGUAAUGUUUUCUUAGUUUCCAAGAUAAUAAGUCAAGAUCAAAUUAUUAAACUUGUCCCUGAUGUCAAAAUAUCAGUGACUAGAACCCUAUUUAAACAUAAACACUGAUCAAUAAAACUUUAAAUAAAAAUAUAAUAUAGGUGAGAUCAUAAAUAUCCACUUUAUUCUAAAACACAAACACAUUGAUAUCACUCCUCAAUCUUGUUUUGAGGAUAACCUGCAUAUAAUAAUAGAAAAGAAACAUGUAGAAAAUAGGGGGUGAGAUUUUAUAAUAGAAAAAGAUAUGUUUGAAUAUAAUAUAUAGAGAAAUAGGAUAUAAGUGGGUAGUUGGAAUGGAACCCGUAUCAUUAGCUUGGAUGGCUAGGGUUUAUAGUCAAUGAAAGUUUCUAUUUAAAAAUUGAACGUGAAAAUUUUGUUUCAUUUAGGGCCUUUGUAGAAUAAUUUAAGAGAUAGAUGAAAUACAUGAAGAAGAAAAUGGCAAUUAACAUCUAUGCAAGCCUUUCGGUAUGAAUACAUAUGUUAAAAUAAAUUUAAAGUGGUAAAGUAGUAUUGCAUAGAAGCAAACAAACAAAUAUACGUUUAUGACUGCAAACCAUUUGAGGCGUACACAUAAUACUAUAAGAGAUACAUAUAUAAAAUGAAACGUUCCUACACAUCUAUUAUAUAUGCAUAUCGCGUACACAUAACUUGUAUUUAAGAAAGUAUAAUUUGAUGACAAGGGAGGUAAAAGAAGAACACCACAGCUCGAUGUGAACUUUAGCAAAUUGAAAUAUCACUACUAUUUGAAUGUUAAGCGACUAGUUAGAGUUUCUCAACUAUAAAUAUACUCUAAAAUCAAGGAAUCAUAAAGAGCCACUAGGGAUUUCACACCGAAGAGUAGUCUCCCCUUAAAUUGGGUUGACAAACCCAUGGCAUCUUCACCAUCUAAUUCAUUUAAUAUUUUCACUCAUAUAUUAAAAUAAUUCAAUAUGAUUCAUUUUUCACAAAAAAACAUAAAAAAUUAUCAUUGUUUUAUUCUCAUGUCAAAAAUGUUAUCAACAGUCCCUCCAUUUACAAUGUAGGUAUGUUAUAAAUAUAUUAUCAUCCAAGAACUUUCACUGACUCACUUGAGCUACGAGGCUUGGCUCAAUACUAUUAAUCACAAAAUUAUACGCAACACACAAAUUCUCAUGAGCAACCUAGUAAUUAAUUGAAAAGAAUGAUUCACUUUUGUACUAACAAGUUGUAAUCCUCAUUAAAAUAUAAAUUACCCAUUCUAUUUAUAUUUUUAUUUGUGGUUUUAAGGUUCCAUUUGUCAAUCAAAAUUUUCAUUUACAAGACAACUUUUUUGGAGCUUUUAUAAUCUAUUAUUUGAGUUUGAUAUGUUUCUUCAACCUAAUUACCUUGUAUUUUGGGAUGGAUUUAUAUCAUUAGGUUGGCCAUUUUUUAUUAUGCUAUUGCUUUUAGACUCAUUGGUAACGAUGAACUAACAUAACUAUAUUAAAAAUUCUAGGAAACAAAAGUAUGUAUAUAUAUAUAUAUAUAUAUAUAUAUAUAUAUAUAUAAAAGUCUUUGGUACUUGGAUUGAGUUUCCUUUUCCCAAGAUUCAAUCUAACUGUGUUUCUGUGCUUCUUUCAAAUUACGUAGUGUUUGGUGCGGUUUUCGACUUGUGUAUGUAAGAAUCACAACAGACAAAUCUGGUGUUUUUCCUUAUUGUACAUGUUGUGGCGUACUUGUGUAGGUGCUAGAGUUAUCAAAGCAUUUGUUUCGUUUCUUCAAUAUUCUAAAGUGGAUAAAAUAUCUAGUACAUAUUUAGGACGAAUAUGGUAAAAUAGUUUAUCAAUUAAUAUAUAUAGGGUGAAACAAGAUCUACCAGGUAUUAAAAAGAUAAUGGUAGCUAUGAUUUGUUUUUUCAUUCUUAAGAGUAUCAUCUAAAUAGAUAUAUUUUGUCAAUAUAUUGUCUAUAAUAUAAGUGUGAUAUUUUAAUUGUUUUCAUACAUUGGUAGAGUAAGAGCAUUUGGAUCAUCUUUUAUAUAUGAUAUUUUAUUUAUGUACGAAAUAUCAUAGAUGAUAUAUUUUUCAUUUUUAAUAAAAUAGUUAUGUCCUCUGUAUAUUUAAAGCAGUUAUAUGUUCAUGAUGCCUUAUUAUAUGUUAACUUAAGGGUGUUAAUAUAAUGUAGGUUUUUGUGUAAUCAUUGAUUAUUAUGAUCAUAAGGAUUAUAAGUAAGAUAAAAGUAUAAUAUUAUUAGGGAAACUAUGAUUAUGAUGAAAACAAAUUACAAGUAUGACAAUCGACUAAGGUUAUGAAUAUGAAUAAAAAUAUAAACAUGACUUUUUCAUACAAACAUAAAUGAUUAGUUAGUGAUAUUUAUGGACUAAGUUUCCAUGACUUAUAGAGAUUAAAUAUGAAGAAUUUCAUAAGAUUUAAUUGAUGUUAUUCCACCAUUAAGUUUAUGAGGUUUAACAAGGUGUAUUACUGGUCCCAUCUUUUAGAAAGGAUAUUAUCAUUAUUUUGAACAUGGCUAAAUGCCACUAUAGUGAUCUAUUCUAGCCAAAAUUAUGGACUGCAAUAAGCUUAAAGCAUUUAGACUCCAUUAGAAGUAACAGGGUGCUUUCACAUUGUUAGCGAGACCAUUUGUGGCAUCAUAAUUUACCAGUUUAAUUGUCAACGCUUAGUUUGAUAUGCAUCAAAUACAUAUGAAUGAUCUGAAAUGAAAUUUAACGAUGAUGUAUAAUAUGAUUGAGUCGAGGAUGUAUGCUGUACUUUUUGUGUGGUGUACUUUUUUCCAUCCCAUUAUUUUGAUUUUCUAGAGUCUUAGUUCCUAUUUAAAAUGAUCCCCAUUAGCAGGGGCUUUGGAUUUUAUUGUGUUGUUGGAGUACCCCUUGUACUCCUUUUUCAAUUUGAUAUAUAUUCCACUAAAAAAAAAUAUUUAAAAUGAUUCUAAUGUGAUUAAAUAAAUUGCAAGGUCGAAGAAUUACAUGAAAGAUUAGAGAAUUAUGUUUUACCUUAGUCGGUCAAGGAAAGACAAAUACUGUUGAUGCACUCCAUGGGAUAUGGAUUGUCAGGAAAAAAUUUCAGGCAAUCGUCAUCAGUAUCACACACUACUGUAAGGUAAAUAAAGAUAAAGAAAUAUUACUAAAUAUAAAAGAAAUGUGUUGUCUAAGAUAAAAAAUAAUAAUAAUAGAAUGAGCUUACAUUCGCCAUAAAUUACAAUAAAAUACAAAGAAACAAAAAGGAUCGCAUUAUAAAUAAACUUGAGAAUUUCAGCCAUUCUAUUAAUAAAAAGGAUUUGCAUAUAUCAAAUGUUGAAUUGUCUGAUCACUUUAUAUAAUAAAAAAUUUCAUCCAAUGUUUACAUAAAGUAAAUAUUUUUUAACAACUCUUCGUUUGGACAAAAUUCCUCACAAAUAUAAUUAUUAUUAAAUAUAAUUAAAUUAAAUUUGUGUAUCAUGUUUGUCCCUUUAACCCAUGUAAUAUACAUUACAUAAAAAUGUUGUUUGUAAUUAUAGUUAAAACCAAUUCACUAAUAUUCAAUUAAUUUUUAUUACUUAUCUAGAAUUUCAGAAUAUAUAUAUUAUGGUUGACAAAUGAUUCCCUCCAAUCCUUCUUAAAAUUAGAAACGUAAGGUGGAAACAACUUCUUACCUGGAUGCGCAAUUAUAGACACCCAAGACAUCUUAUCCACACCCUUGGUCCCAUGAAAGUAAAAGAAAGCGCCAACAGAAGGUUCCAUCCCCAACGCCUCGCACAAAAUUGCAAAGCCCCGGAUGAAGGCCCGACUAUUGGGUAGAAUUUGAGAGGGAGCCAUAUUCGAAAAUUGCAGAAUGUCCAUAUCAAAAAGGGUGAAAGGAAUUUUUAUCCCAAACUCCUCAAAAGAAUGCGUUGUACAUAUGAAACAUUUUUUUCACACUCUUAGGGGGAUGUAUGCAAACUUUUUCUCCAGGAAAGCAGGGUGUCAACAAAAUGUCUUCCUUCCACCCAGUUGAAGAAAUGAAUAUCUUGGUCCGCAGAAAAUUUACGCUCGCCUUAUCGUGAUAGGAGGAUUUGUAGUGUUGAACAUCACCAGAAAAACCCUUCAUAUCAAGCUCGGAGCCAGACCCAUAAAGUAAACCACCAUCCCUACGAGCCACUACAAGAGGAGAGUAAACAAUGACUUCCUUCCUAACCACUCCCUGGAGUCGAAUACAGGAAAGCACAACCAUUGUCAUCACUAUCAUCAGAACUACUACUACUAUCACUUCCACUCGACAAUUCUUCAAUAAUCAUAUGACAAAAAUAGCUUAACUCAUACGCUCCACAAUCGAUAAGACCAUUUGGCCGCGUAGCAUGCCUCAAACACGCUCCUCAGUUUUUCCUUUUCAACGGGAUCCGUGGGAAAAAACUCCUUGCCCAAAAACUCCGUACCCUAAAUAAAUACUAAAAAUAGAAGGGAUGAGGAAGAAUAAUACCUGAAAUCAAAAGAGAAAAGCCUUUCCCGGAGUAACAACUGAAUUGGAAGUAAGGUGGAACACAAAGACGAGACAGGCGGCCGGAGAAAAAAGUAAGGAAGAAUUGAAAAAUGAAAGAAAAGGGACUACCUUUAUAAAACAGGCAUUAGAUGUAGCUUCGAGAGAUGCACUGACAAAGGCAUCGAUAGGGGAAACAUAGCGGAAAUUCCAAGAUGAGAGCACAUAGGCACCAACGAAAGGUUGCAAAAUCUGGACCGUUAAAACAAGACAGUAGGAAAAGGAAACAUCUCACCCAAAAACGAUUUAUCAUAAGACGUCGCCAAGGCGGACAGGGGAACAGAGGCUAGAAGAAUAAUCACCACGCCUUGUCCCAAGACUUGUGCUUAGGGGGCUUAUGGACCAUCAUUGUAUCUACAAACAAGGCUCCAAAGGUUGAGAGGCUAGAAGAAUAAUCACCACGCCUUGUCUCAAGACUUGUGUUUAAGGGGCUUAUGGACCAUCAUUGUAUGUGCAAAUAAGGCUCCAAAUUCCAAAAGCUUGACAUCAUCACUACGCCUUGUUCCAAGACUUGUGUUUGGGGGGCUGUGGACCGUCAAUAUACUCCUAAAAGCCUAGGAGACCUCCAGAAGGGCUCCUAGACCCUACUCGAGGGCUUAACAUCCCCAACAAGAGCUCCAAAUCCCAAGGCGCGUCCUCCUCAGGAUGCCGCCUCUAUCCACUUCUAGAAACACCUAGAACUCACUAAAAGUACUUAAUUAUCCUCGUUACUUAACGCCUAAGCAAACCUGAAAUCAGACCCAUAAGUGGCUAUAAAUACCACCCUUGUGAUCACUCUCACAGCAUCCAAUAAUCAGUUUAAAUAACUGUAUAAUACAAUACUGAACCCUGGUACCCAUUAUUGUGCUUUAGCAAGUACACUACCACUUGAUGGUAUCAAAGUAGUCCUUUAAACGAAAAGUUAUUGUAAUAUUAUUUCUUUUUCCACAAGUGUUUAGUUAGAAGUUUAUUGAAAUAAGCUCAUACUAUAUUUGGAUCAGAUGUACAAAAUGUUUAAACAAAUAUGAAAUAGCUUAAAAGAGUUCAGAGGAUUUUCUAUUUUAUAAAAUAUUAUAAUUUCAGUUUGUUAUAUAAAACAACAUUUUAGUUCUUAUUCUUGGGACAGAUUCAAUGUGGGGGCAAUGAGGUCAGCUGAACCCACUUGAAGAAAUAGUUUAAUGUAGGUCAAAACAGUAGAGAAAGAUGAGCUGCAUGUGUGGUAUCACCGUGAUACCAAACAUUCAAAAAGAAAAUGGCAUAUCUUCUGAAAAGAAGUAUUAUCACAUUAUGAUGAAUGAAGACAUGGUUGAGAGGUGAAAAAUUUGGACAAAUGACACAAGAUGACUAUUGGUUGGACACAACGACCUAAUAGAUUCGAUGACUUGAUCAUUGCGCUGAAGUUACACACUCUUACAGUUUCUAGAAAAUUCUAGAAAUUGGGGGCAUUGAAGAGAAGGAAAAGUAUUGUGUAAGUCAUUCAGAAAUAUUGUUAUAAAAUAGUUAGAGAGUGCACUAUCUGGAAGCUUUUUGAGGUCCUUGAUCCUCUAUAGACAGUGCAACUUGAUUCAGUCUAGUUUCCACUAUUGGUUUAUUUUAAUGGUUGAGAUAUGAAUGCUUUUAACCAUUGUAUUAAUCCAAAUGUCUGUUGUUGUCUGACCAGCCACAGAGAAUCUAGGUUCGACUCUUUUUUGAGGUAUUAAUAUAAUUAAAUUUCGGAUUUUGAUUAUCUCCUUUUAUUUUUAUCUCGAUUUAUCUCCUAACUUUAUCAAAAUUCUUAAUGAGAUAUUAAUCUAACUAAAUUAUAGUGUUCAAUGUUGUUCAUCAUGUUGUAGAUUGGUUCUCCUAUUUUGUUAUGGAUUGUUCAUAUUUGAAUGAGAUUUAAAUAAUUUUUUAAUUGAUGAUUUAAAUAAGGGUUAAUAGUGUUUUUCACCCCUGUAAUAUAUGUCAUUUUCGGUUUUCGCCCCUAUAAUAUUUUCGGUUUGAUUUGCAUCCUCGUAAAUAAAAAAAUCCGAAAAACCCCCAUCCCCUGUCCAACUUACUAAAUUUGCUUAUGUGGCGCUGACUUGGUUUUUUAUUUAUAUUUUUAAUUGGCCACAUCGGAUUUUAUUAUUAAAAUUUUUAAAAAUUCAAAAAAUAAUAUAAAUUCAUUUAUAUUAAUUAAAAAAUAUAAAAAUUAUUUAAAAAUUUUGAAAAUUAAUUUUUGAAAAUAAAAAAAUUGUAAAAAUGAAAUAAUUUUUUUUACGGAAUUUUUCUAAAAAAAAUCUGGAAUAUUUUUUUAUUACCAAAAAAAUUAAAAAAAAUAAGAAAAAAAAACUAUAAGAAACCCUAGUUAGUUUCUUAUUAGCAAAAAAUGAAAUCUAGUUAAAAAAAUGAGUAACAAACCUUGUUCUAUUAGCAAAAACUCUUUUCCCCUUCACAUACAAACGAGUAGAACAUCAAUGGCCUUUCAAUUUUUAUUUUUAUUUUCAUUUUCCCCAAUUUCUUCCCAAAACCCUAGUUUCUAAUUGAAAAAGAUGAACAACGGGGUCUAAUACACGUUGUCAAGCCCAAAACGUUGCGUUUCGUGCCCAGUCACCAAGUUAACGACCACAUCAUCGUUAUAUUAACGGACACUGACGGGAAGGACAAUGUUUCUAACAUUCAGAAACUAAAAGGAUCUAAUUAGAACUUCAAAAAAAAUAUUUAAAAGGACUAAUCUGAAACAAACACAAACCUUAAAGCCCGUCGGAUGCAUUUUGCCAAAAGUAUAAAGUAAUUAAUGAUUAUGGGACUAGCUUAGUGAUAGGACCCUCUCUCCAAAUUGUACUAUACUCCAUUUAUUAUGUCAAAUAGAGAGGAUCCUAACCAAGUUUGGAUUAGUUGCAGAAAACCAUGAAAGUGUAAAAGCGCAUAUGAAAAAAGUGAUGCAGGCAGCUGUAAAUGAAACAAGGGAGAUGAUGUACCAUUUUACCAAUUGCUAUUUGAAAAAAUAACAUAAGAGCUGUGAAGCACGAAUACGGACACGACACGGACAUCGACACGUCGACACAGCUAAAUUUUUAAAAAAAUCAUAAAAUGCAGUGUAAUUAUAUGUAUCAAUGUCGGACAUGACACGUGUCUGACAUGGGGAUACGCCUUAUUCAAGGAGUGUUCGUGCUUCAUAGCACAAGAGCUAUAAUCAGGAGUAUCUGCAGUGUUAUGUUCCUUCAUGAAUUUACCAUAAUUUGAUGACAUAUUCAUUAAAGCUAAGAUAGUUAUUAGCAUGGUUCGUGUCAUUAUGAUCAAAGCUACAUGCUCAAACACCUGAUCUCUGUCAAAAAGAAAAUUAAUGAUGAGAUUUGCAACGUAUAUACAUUGGUUACUUUCUUAUUUCUUUCUUUGAACUAAAUGAAAUAGAACAGCGCUAAAUGGUGCGACACAUUGUAUGCACGAAAAUGCAUGACAGCGAGAAAACAUGACAUUUUGACUUUUCUAUCAUGAACUAAAACUUGAUUUGCUCAUAGUAUAGUACAUGCAUUGUCCUUCAUGCAAGAUAUCCUAAAAAUGGUUUUAAAAAAAGCACAUAUUUUAACAAACCACAAUAAUGGUGAAAAGUCUUUGGUUUCAUGGGUACUUGAGAUCAGUGAGUCACAUGGUGGUGAGCACCGUCACAGAAAGCCAAUGGAAAGAUAUAGUCCUUUUUCUAUUUAUUUCUGAAGUGUAAUUUGCCAUGAUGUGGUCAUACUGGAACUUUCGUGUGCCUUCGUGCUUGUUAAUAUGUCGUGCUAUCAAGCAUUUUUCAAUAAAAUAAUUAAAAGCCAAAAAGAAUAUUAAAUGUUUGUAUGAAGAAAAUUAAAGGGAUUGUUGAGGGAAUACCUUGGCUUAACGGGAUCAAGAGAUGAUUCUUUCACCACAGUUAUCUGAUUUUCCACGCGUUUGCAAAAUAUUAUAUACAUUUUUUUGGAGCAAAAUUAAUUGAUGUACAAAUAGAAUAAAACUCAAGAACACGGUGACUAGUCUAAAAACACACAGUCUUACCGAUAAAAUUAGGAUAAUAAAUAGUACUUUCGAGCAAAACCAACUACAGAUUAAAGUGGGAAAAGGUGCUUUUGGUUAAUUUUCUUCUGAUGUUAUUAUUACAUCAAAGAAGACUAUAGAGUCUUUUCUAUCCUAGCCUAUUGGAUCUCGUGACACAUAUCUCAGGAUCCUACAAGAACGGUAACUAACUCUAUAGGCAAGGGAAAUAAGAAAUAUUUUAACGAACUCUCUCAAGACUCUACAAGAACGUUAACUAACUAACUCUAUCGUGCUUUCUUUUUUAUUAUUACUUUUUCCACCGCGCUCUGUAAAUUUUUUAAAAAUGUCCUUGUAUAAUUCAGAUUUUAUAUUCCGAACUAUGCUUAUGUAUAAUCAGCAAUCAGAAUCUCUUACAUUUCAGCAGUUUUGAAUUUUGCUUUUAAAAACAACAAAAAACAAAGUAAAAAAAUACCACCACAAAAUUCUAAAAAUCAAAUAAAACUAAUGCAAAUUUUUUCAAACUUUUCUAAGAAUAUGAAAAAUUAAAAAAAAUUAAAAAUGGUUGUGUCAAGGUAGUGAGUGUGAUCAGAGGAGUUUGUUCUUGUCAGCCUGCUGGUGGAUUUGGCGAGCAAGAAAUCUGUUAUGUAUGGAGGAUGAACACAUUACUAUUUAUCAGCUAAAGAUGGAGGUGUACAAAUUUUCAACCCUCAUUCACAAAACAUGUACUGUUACUUGUCCGGCAAACGAAAGUGGACGAUGGACUUCUUGGCACCCGAUGGAGAGCUCGGCUACGGUGCUUAAUGUUGAUGGUAGCAGCUUCGGUAACCCAGGCAUCUCCGGUUUUUUUAGGAGUUUUAAGAAGGCAUGAUGGCUCUUGGAUAUACGGGUUUGGAGGGAAAAUUGGUAUUGCAUCCAUUCUUCAGGUGGAGUUGCUGGCUAUUUAUCAUGGGUUACGAGUUGCGUGGGAUUAGAGGUAUAGGCAUCUUAUUUGUUUCUCAGACUCAACUUUGGCCUUUCAAUUGGUUAACAUGGAGGUGAAUUCUUGGCACCUCUUUGCACCUGUUAUCAGCAAUAUCAAGGAUCUAAUGGCUCGCGACUGGAAUUUCCAACUGAGUCAUACGUGGUGGGAGGCAAAUGCUACAGCUGAUUUCAUGGUGAAGAUGGGUGCUAGUCUCACCUGAUGCACUCUUCGUGUUCAGUUUGCUCGCCGCUAGAAGCUUUUUAGCUUCCCUGUAGCUUUUAUUUCUUGCUUUUUUUCUUCCUUUCUGUUUAUUUUUACCUUGUUUAAACAAAAAAAAAAAGGCUUAAUACAUCCCUAGGUCCCUUAACUUAUUUUAUUUUCUCAGUUUGGUCCCUUAACUAUUAAUUGUGUCAAUUUGGUCCCAUAAAUCUUUCUCCGUAUACUGUUUUGGUUUUUUUGUUAGUUUUUUAAUGUAUAUUAUUCUUGAUAUCAUUUUAACCACUUGAUUGCAGGUCUAUAGUAUUUAAGAGUGAACCAUCAACACUUGAUUUUUAUAGUUUACUUCAUCUUCUCUCUUCAUCAUACUACACAGAACUUUAAAUCACCUUCAUUGAUCAUAUACAGAAUCAAAAAAAUACUUCAAAUCCUAAAAUCUUAAACACAUCAAAUCCUAAAAUCUUAAACACAUCAACAAAACCUUCUUUAACCUUCAUAAAAAAAGCCCAUAGAAAAUAAAGCUAAUCCACCAUGUUCCCAAAUUAAGAAUACACAAAACCCUUGGUUUCACCGUUGAAAUUGAUUAUUAUAGCAGUAAGGAAUUAUUGCUAAGGAACGAGGAGAUCAUGGAGACAAUUACAAACGACACACAUAAAUUAAUCAAGGUGAAACCUCUCUUCCUUCCCGGAAUUGACAAAGGGAUGCGUAACAACAAAUUUCUUAGAUUGAUUUUAUUGCCGAAUUCGAUUUUGGUGUUGUCAAUGGAUUUGAUGUUGGACUCAGAUUCGUCGCUGGAUUCGAUUGUUGCAAAACUUGAAUUCGUCGCUGGUGGUGUGCUGGUGGUUUUCAUUUGUUAGUUUUUUUUUUUCUUUUCUGAAACUGAUUGGAUUGAUUGUUGUUGCUUUUCUGAAACGAGGAAUUUUAGAUUUUCAGGGGUGGAUUCCCAUAAGAAGCCUCUUCUAAGGGAGUUUUGAACCUUGAUUUUUUUUUUCUUCUGAUUUUCUAGGCAAGUUUCGGAGCAAUCCGAUCAAGUAGUUCAAAAAUCCGAUUUUUGACUAAGAACAACUAACAAUGACCCAAAACAUAAUGAUGAGAGUUAGGAAGAUUAAUAUUGUUCAUAAAAUGAUAAUCUAUGUUACAAACAUGUUUAGAAUUUAUGCUAAUACAGUUCCGAUUAUGUAAUCCGAACUGUUCUUUCCUUGAAAAGGGUGUUUAAGGGGUGUUCGGAUUAUAUAAUCUGAAAAAAUCAAAUGGCGCGCCCUAUUUUUGAAGUUUUCAAAACUCAUUUUUUCACCUAUAACAAAAUAAAAAUUGAAUUCGGAUUAUACAAUCUAAAUUGCUUAAGGACAUUUUCGAAAAAUUUACAAACCGCUAGUAAAGGAUAGGGUGGGUAAAGUAAUAGUCCUACCUUUUUAUCUCUAUGUAGUCUUGGACUCUUGCUACUUCGUUCUUUAUCAUGCCCAUCAUUGACUUUAGGCCCAAUAUUUAUAUGCACCUCCAUAUCAUUGCCUACCCCAUCAAGAUUUACAUUGUUCUCAAGUUUAAGUUGAGAUUAGGGGUGUUCAAAACCGAACCCACCCAAUAGAAAAACCGCAAACCAAACCAAUCCAAAUCGAAACCAUAAAAAACCGCACUUGGUUCGGAUGAAUUCGGAUGACUUUUGUAUUGAACCGCAUGGUUCGGUUUGCGGUUUGCAUCUCAUCAACUGAACCAAACCAAACCAAACCGCAAGAAUAAUGAAUAUUACUUAAAUAUGUACUAGCCCAAUUACAUAGCUCAAGAAUAAUCUCUUUUGAUUCAAUUUUUCCAUUGUUGCACCAUCAGGUUCGAUUCUAAUUCCUUUUCAUCUCUUUCAAUUCAUUUCCACUGAUGAAUUUGUUUCCUUUACUUCCCAAUAAUUUAUUUCAUGCUUAUGUUUCUUCUUAAUUUUACCUAUUUUGAUAUAAGUUUUACCUAAUAUGUUAUCAUAUAAACAUCAAAAUAAAAUGUUCUAUGUUUAUUUUGUAACAAAUUGGCAAUAUUAGAGUUAAUGUAAUAUUUUUUUAUCUCACGCUAAACCGCUCAAACCGAACCAAUCCAAACCGCAUUGGUUUGGUUUGGUUUGGUUUGGAUGACUUUUUAAAAAUCAACUGAACCAAACCAAACCGUAUGCUUUUUUAUCUCGCAGAUGUGUCAGAGGAUAAAUGUUUAUGAAAGAUAAUUAUAAUGGAGAAUAAUUGUCAUGCAAUGUCAUUCAUAUACACAAAGGUUCAGUUAUCAGCAUCAACUUAAGUACGUUUAAGAUGAAUGACAUUUUGAUAACUUUGUCCAGACGGGGUAUUUGUGUGUUUUUCCCCGAAAAUAUCUCAUUUCCCAUUGUUUUUCAUUUCCCAUUUCCUCUCUUCCCUCUCUCUAGAAAUCACUACUCACUCUCCCUCUCUUCACCAAUCAUCCAAAACUUCUCCUUCUCAAGGAUUAAACUUAUGUUAUGGUUCUUACCAUAUUUAAGAAGUCAUUAGAGGCUUGAUUCAAGUUUGAUUCCACUCCUUUUCCUCACAAGAAGAGAUUCAAGACUAUGGUUUGGUUCUUGGCAAAGUUGGAAUUGGAGCAUAAACUUGAUGCAAGGAGUUAAGGUGAGUUCGUAUAGAUUAGUUCCCACCUUUGGGUGUUGUGUGAUUCUUGUGUGAUUUUGUAGGGAAGAACACAUUUUGGUGUUCCUGUGUAGUAAAAAUUGAGGCUCGAUUUUGCCAAAUCGUGGCUCGAUAUUUCCAUAACCAAAAGGCCAUCCUGAAAACUCAAAAUCGAGGCUCGAUUUAGAAAUCAAGGAUCGAUUUACCUAGUGCUGAAAAAUAAUAUUUUUAGUUCAAAAGGCUCUGAAACUUCCCAUUUUAUGUGUCUUAUACAUCCAAAACCAUCAUAGGAGUAAUGUAGACUUUUAGAAGAUUAUUUCAAAGGGCAUAACAUCUAUUGAACAUAUACAUAAUCUAUGAUUUAAUUCAAGAAAGAGCUUUAUAAAUAUGUAUUCGAAUUGCACAUGAGAGUAUGAUCAUGUAUAUGAUAUGUUGGGUAGCAUUCUAUCCCUUAGAGAUGGGCAACAAUAGAUACUCAACCUAGAUAGUUGAGAAUAGAUGUUGAGCGAAGUUAAUUGAUGAUUUGUAGUUGGACUUAUGUGAAGCAUUGUUGAUGAUGAAUUGCUGCUGUUUUGUGUUGUUAAAAUCUUUUACAUGAAUUAUUGCUUAUUAUUAUCGAAUGUGAAAUCUCACCCUUUCUGUUUGAAUGUUACCUCUACGUCGGUAACGUGCAGAUAUUCAAGAGUAACAGCAUAUGUGAGUUAAAUUCUCGUAUCGUCAUAGGAAUCAUGCUCUGAUACGUAACGAGAUGAGGAUUCUUAUGUGUUUUAUUUUCCAUUGUUACGUAUCUUCGUAUAAUUUGAUGUUGGACCACUUUUAGGUGGAUUUUAUUUAUGUUGUUGAUGUUGAGGCCUUAGUUCCAAGUAAUGUUUAAAGAUUAAAUAUUUCCGCUGCGACAUUAUUUUGAAUUAUUGAAAGCAAUUGUUUAAAUAAAUAGUAAAUUUAACUUUAUUUGUGUUAAAUGAUAUUUUGAAGAAUGAAAUGUGACAUCCUGUUUAAGAUGAACUCUAAUUUAUUUUAUAUUAUUUAUAUGUUGGGAAAACGGAGUGUUACAAUCCGCACAGAUUAUUAAGAUUAACAACCCGAAAUUCUUCUUCUGUCCACAACAUUUCUAAUUUCUUAAUUAUAGUUAAUGAAAUAAAGUAUGAAACCUCAUGUUUUCUAAUAUUUCCUUCGUGGAACGUUGUAACUUUAAUUAGGGUAACUUACCGCACAUGUUGUCGUUAGGGUAAAUAGAUGUUCUAAAACCAGUUUCCUAAAUCAUAAGUAGACACCACAUAACUGAUGUUGUAUCAAGUUAAUUCCAACAAAGACGGGGGGGAGAGAUUCAAGAAUUCCUUAAUCGCUGUUAACUAUCUAAAUCACAACCCUAAUCUCGCAAUGGCCAUAUAAAUCAAAUCCCGCAACCCUCUUUUCUAUUUACUCUUUUAAUAUGUUUUUCUAAUUCCAAUGUUGAACUACAAUCCCUAUGGAGACGAUUAACUUACUACUUUAUUAAUUGUUACGAUUUGGUGCACUUGUCAAUUUCGUCCAUCAGGUAGAUUGUCAUAUUUUUACCAUGCUUAUCUCACCAUCCAUGGAACCGAGUAUUUAGUUUUAUUUUGUAUUAUAUGUUAUAUAGUUUAUAUUCAUCGUGUUUGGGGUGAUGCUUUUUGUAGUUUAUAACAUUAAAAUUCUGAUGAGUAUUUGAGUAUGCUUGUCAGGAUCCAUAUAUAAAUAACAUUGGAUUUUCGAGUCAAAGUUAGAGGUUUAUAACUUGGAAGUUUUAUUUAUUUGUCAAAUUAUUUCUCGUCAAUAUAUUAACACUUAUUGUUAAAAAAAAAUUCACAUUAUUGUUAAGAUUUACGUUUGAUAAUAUCUAUAAUUUGAAGAUUUAAUUUCUAUUGUUAAAGCCUUAUAUAAACUUGGGAGUUUAAAUUUUCAUGUAGCCUAAGAUAUCACAUCAUGACAAGUAGAAAUUUAAUUCCAUAACUCAAAAUAAAAUAUUUUUCCUUAUUAGAGCCUUACAAUUAUCCAUAAUAUAAAAUAAAAUAUGUAAUGUUUUCUUAGUUUCCAAGAUAAUAAGUCAAGAUCAAAUUAUUAAACUUGUCCCUGAUGUCACAAUAUCAGUGACUAGAACCCUAUUUAAACAUAAACACUGAUCAAUAAAACUUUAAAUAAAAAUAUAAUAUAGGUGAGAUCAUAAAUAUCCACUUUAUUCUUAUACACAAACACAUUGAUAUCACUCCUCAAUCUUGUUUUGAGGAUAACCUGCAUAUAAUAAUAGAAAAGAAACAUGUAGAAAAUAGGGGGUGAGAUUUUAUAAUAGAAAAAGAUAUGUUUGAAUAUAAUAUAUAGAGAAAUAGGAUAUAAGUGGGUAGUUGGAAUGGAACCCGUAUCAUUAGCUUGGAUGGCUAGGGUUUAUAGUCAAUGAAAGUUUCUAUUUAAAAAUUGAACGUGAAAAUUUUGUUUCAUUUAGGGCCUUUGUAGAAUAAUUUAAGAGAUAGAUGGAAUACAUGAAGAAGAAAAUGGCAAUUAACAUCUAUGCAAGCCUUUCGGUAUGAAUACAUAUGUUAAAAUAAAUUUAAAGUGGUAAAGUAGUAUUGCAUAGAAGCAAACAAACAAAUAUACGUUUAUGACUGCAAACCAUUUGAGGCGUACACAUAAUACUAUAAGAGAUACAUAUAUCAAAUGAACCGUUCCUACACAUCUAUUAUAUAUGCAUAUCGCGUACACAUAACUUGUAUUUAAGAAAGUAUAAUUUGAUGACAAGGGAGGUAAAAGAAGAACACCACUGCUCGGUGUGAACUUUAGCAGAUUGGAAUAUCGCUACUAUUUGAAUGUUAAGCGACUAGUUAGAGUUUCUCAACUAUAAAUAUACUCUAAAAUCAAGGAAUCAUAAAGAGCCACUAGGGAUUUCACACCGAAGAGUAGUCUCCCCUUAAAUUGGGUUGACAAACCCAUGGCAUCUUCACCAUCUAAUUCAUUUAAUAUUUUCACUCAUAUUAAAGUAACUCAAUAUGAUUCAUUUUUCACAAAGUAACAUAAAAAAUUAUCAUUGUUUUAUUCUCAUGUCAAAAAUGUUAUCACCAGUCCCUCCAUUUACAAUGUAGGUAUGUUAUAAAUAUAUUAUCAUCCAAGAACUUUCACUGGCUCACUUGAGCUACGAGGCUUGGCUUAAUACUUGUAAUCACAAAAUUAUACGCAACACACAAAUUCUCAGGAGCAACCUUGUAAUUAAUUGAAAAGAAGGAUUCACUUUUGUACUAACAAGUUGUAAUCCUCAUUAAAAUAUAAAUUACCCAUUCUAUUUAUAUUUUUAUUUGUGGUUUUAAGGUUCCAUUUGUCAAUCAAAAUUUUCAAUUACAAGACAACUUUUUUGGAGCUUUUAUAACCUAUUACCUUGUAUUGGGAUGGAUUUAUAUCAUUGGGUUGGCCAUUUUUUAUUAUUCUAUUGCUUUUAGACUCAUUGGUAACGAUGAACUAACAUAACUAUAUUAAAAAUUCUAGGAAACAAAAGUGUGUGUGUGUGUGUGUAUAUAUAUAUAUAUAUAUAUAUAUAAAUAAGUCUUUGGUACUUGGAUUGAGUUUCCUUUUCCCAAGAUUCAAUCUAAAUGUGUUUCUGUGCUUCUAUAGAAUUACGUAUUGUGUAGACGUGGUUGGUGCGGUUUUCGACUUGUGUAUGUAAGAAUCACAACAGACAAAUCUGGUGUUUUUCCUUAUUGUACAUGUUGUGGCGUACUUGUGUAGGUGCUAGAGUUAUCAAAGCAUUUGUUUCGUUUCUUCAAUAUUCUAAAGUGGAUAAAAUAUCUAGUACAUAUUUGGGACGAAUAUGGUAAAAUAGUUUAUCAAUUAAUAUAUAUAGGUGAAACAAGAUCUACCAGGUAUUAAGAAGAUAAUGGUAGCUACAAUUUGUUUUUUCAUUCUUAAGAGUAUCAUCUAAAUAGAUAUAUUUUGUCAAUAUAUUGUCUAUAAUAUAAGUGUGAUAUUUUAAUUGUUUUCAUACAUUGGUAGCGUAAGAGCAUUUGGAUCAUCUUUUAUAUAUGAUAUUUUAUUUAUGUACGAAAUAUCAUAGAUGAUAUAUUUUUCAUUUUUAAUAACAUAGUUAUGUCCUCUGUAUAUUUAAAGCAGUUAUAUGUUCAUGAUGCCUUAUUAUAUGUUAACUUAAGGGUGUUAAUAUACUGUAGGUUUUUGUGUGAUCAUUGAUUAUUAUGAUCAUCAGGAUUAUAAGUAAGAUAAAAGUAUAAUAUUAUUAGGGAAACUAUGAUUAUGAUGAAAACAAAUUACAAGUAUGACAAUCGACUAAGGUUAUGGAUAUGAAUAAAAAUAUAAACAUGACUUUUUCAUACAAACAUAAAUGAUUAGUUAGUGAUUUUUAUGGACUAAGUUUCCAUGACUUAUAGAGAUUACAUAUGAAGAAUUUCAUAAGAUUUUAUUGAUGUUAUUCCACCAUUAAGUUUAUGAGGUUUUACAAGGUGUAUUACUGGUCCCAUCUUUUAGAAAGGAUAUUAUCAUUAUUUUGAACAUGGCUAAAUGCCACUAUAGUGAUCUAUUCUAGCCAAAAUUAUGGACUGCAAUAAGCUUAAAGCAUUUAGACUCCAUUAGAAGUAACAGGGUGCUUUCACAUUGUUAGCGAGACCAUUUGUGGCAUCAUAAUUUACCAGUUUAAUUGUCAACGCUUAGUUUGAUAUGCAUCAAAUACAUAUGAAUGAUCUGAAAUGAAAUUUAACGAUGAUGUAUAAUAUGAUUGAGUCGAGGAUGUAUGCUGUACUUUUUGUGUGGUGUACUUUUUUCCAUCCCAUUAUUUUGAUUUUCUAGAGUCUUAGUUCCUAUUUAAAAUGAUCCCCAUUUGCAGGGGCUUUGGAUUUUAUUGUGUUGUUGGAGUACCCCUUGUACUCCUUUUUCAAUUUGAUAUAUAUUCCACUAAAAAAAAUUAUUUAAAAUGAUUCUAAUGUGAUUAAAUAAAUUGCAAGGUCGAAGAAUUACAUGAAAGAUUAGAGAAUUAUGUUUUACCUUAGUCGGUCAAGGAAAGACAAAUACUGUUGAUGCACUCCAUGGGAUAUGGAUUGUCAGGAAAAAAUUUCAGGCAAUCGUCAUCAGUAUCACACACUA